UCACCUUGAGGCCAAGGCCAGGGCAGCAGGUGCAGACAGCCUCCCUGGGAUUGCAUGCUGAAGCUGCAUUUUGCCAACAUUCUGCCGGGCUGAAGCUGCAGACAUGCUGGCGAUGCUCAGGCAAGCUUGUCACCUGCUCCCGGCUGCCAGGCAGAGCUGGCGGGUGUCUCCGCUCUUGCAUGGAUGCUCCUUCAGCUGUGACUCCCAGCCCUCUGCUAUCCAGGUGCCUGGAAUACAGAUGUGAUGGCUGGUGCAGAAGCUGCUAGCUUGGAUUAUGAAGAUGAGAUGGGGGAAUAGUGAUCUGGAUUGAAACCUGAGUCCUCAAGAACUAGUGAUACAAAGCUACUAUGUCGGCCAUGAGCGGUCCACCCCCACACUUCUACAAAAGGGAAAAAUAAACUUUCAUUGUGUUUGGAGUCUGUA